ACUACAGGAAAUAUGCCGGUAGCGGCGUUUUGUGGUUGUGGCCGGUGGCCCGUGUUAAACAAACAUGUUUU